rnacentral:rRNA from 1 species
UACGGAGGGUGCAAGCGUUGCUCGGAAUUAUUGGGCGUAAAGGGUAGGUAGGUGGUCUUAUUUGUCUGGGGUGAAAAGCCUUGAGCUUAACUCAAGAAGUGCCCCAGAAACGGUGAGACUGGAGUCCUGGAGAGGGUCGUGGAAUUCCCGGUGUAGCGGUGAAAUGCGUAGAGAUCGGGAGGAACACCAGAGGCGAAAGCGGCGACCUGGACAGGCACUGACACUCAACUACGAAAGCGUGGGGAGCAAACAGG